rnacentral:rRNA from 1 species
AGAGUUUGAUCAUGGCUCAGGACGAACGCUGGCGGCGUGCCUAACACAUGCAAGUCGAACAGGUCUAGAUGUUAGACAUUAGACAUUAGACGGCAGACGCGAAGAGGAUAAGCUGAAACGGUAAAGGCAAACAAGUGCUUUGAGAAGCACAAAGGCCAAAGCCGUUGAAGCAAGGCAAAACUUCGCAGAUCUAGAAUCUAGUAUCUAGCGUCUAAUAUCUAGACUAGUGGCGGACGGGUGAGUAACGCGUGAGCAACCUGCCUAUCAGAGGGGGAUAACGUAUGGAAACGUACGCUAAUACCGCAUAAGACAGUACUACCGCAUGGUAGAGUUGUCAAAGGAGCAAUCCGCUGAGAGAUGGGCUCGCGUCCGAUUAGAUAGUUGGUGGGGUAAAGGCCUACCAAGUCGACGAUCGGUAGCCGGACUGAGAGGUUGAACGGCCACAUUGGGACUGAGACACGGCCCAGACUCCUACGGGAGGCAGCAGUGGGGGAUAUUGCACAAUGGGCGAAAGCCUGAUGCAGCAACGCCGCGUGAGGGAAGACGGUUUUCGGAUUGUAAACCUUUGUCUUCGGUGAAGAAAGAAAUGACGGUAGCCGGGGAGGAAGCCACGGCUAACUACGUGCCAGCAGCCGCGGUAAUAAUCACUAGUGCGGCCGCCUGCAGGUCGACCAUAUGGGAGAGCUCCCAAC